rnacentral:rRNA from 1 species
CCUACGGGUGGCUGCAGUGAGGAAUAUUGGUCAAUGGACGGAAGUCUGAACCAGCCAAGCCGCGUGAAGGAAGACGGCCCUAUGAGUUGUAAACUGCUUUUGUACAAGGGUAAACCUGAAUACGUGUAUUCAGCUGAAAGUACUGUACGAAUAAGGAUCGGCUAACUCCGUGCCAGCAGCCGCGGUAAUACGGAGGAUCCAAGCGUUAUCCGGAUUUAUUGGGUUUAAAGGGUGCGUAGGCGGAUUGAUAAGUUAGUGGUGAAAUUUACGGGCUUAACUCGGGAACUGCAUCUGAUACUGUUGAUCUAGAGAGUAGUAGAGGUAGGCGGAAUGUAUGGUGUAGCGGUGAAAUGCUUAGAGAUCAUACAGAACACCGAUUGCGAAGGCAGCUUACCAAUCUAUAUCUGACGUUGAGGCACGAAAGCGUGGGGAGCAAACAGGAUUAGAUACCCCAGUAGUC